rnacentral:rRNA from 1 species
GGGAUGCGUGUGGGCCCAUUUGGGAGUGC